rnacentral:lncRNA from 1 species
CGGGGACCGCGCUCAAGAGGCUGAUGGCCGAGUACAAACAAUUAACACUGAAUCCUCCGGAAGGAAUUGUAGCAGGCCCCAUGAAUGAAGAGAACUUUUUUGAAUGGGAGGCAUUGAUCAUACCCUUCACAAACAAGAGGCCGUUUACAAGUGCACUUAAAAUGCCUAUUAGGGAAUUAACUGUCCUCCCAUCGAUUUGUCUCACCCUGCUAUUUUGGCAGACAUCUGGCCAAGUCUUUGCUCCUUGGGGCCCAGAAGACACCUGCUUUGAGUUUGGUGUUUUUCCUG